UGGGGAAUAUUGCACAAUGGAGGGAACUCUGAUGCAGCGACGCCGCGUGAACGAAGAAGGCUUUCGAGUCGUAAAGUUCUUUUAUAUGGGAAGAUAAUGACGGUACCAUAAGAAAAAGCCCCGGCUAACUACGUGCCAGCAGCCGCGGUAAUACGUAGGGGGCUAGCGUUGUCCGGAAUCACUGGGCGUAAAGGGUUCGCAGGCGGAAAUGCAAGUCAGGUGUAAAAGGCAGUAGCUUAACUACUGUAAGCAUUUGAAACUGCAUAUCUUGAGAAGGGUAGAGGUAAGUGGAAUUUUUAGUGUAGCGAUGAAAUGCGUAGAUAUUAAAAAGAAUACCGGUGGCGAAGGCGACUUACUGGGCUCAUUCUGACGCUAAGGAACGAAAGCGUGGGUAGCAAACAGG
rnacentral:rRNA from 1 species